rnacentral:rRNA from 1 species
UACGUAGGUGGCAAGCGUUAUCCGGAAUUAUUGGGCGUAAAGCGCGCGCAGGCGGUUUCUUAAGUCUGAUGUGAAAGCCCACGGCUCAACCGUGGAGGGUCAUUGGAAACUGGGGAACUUGAGUGCAGAAGAGAAAAGCGGAAUUCCACGUGUAGCGGUGAAAUGCGUAGAUAUUUGGAGGAACACCAGUGGCGAAAGCGGCUUUCUGGGACAUUCCUGACGCUGAGGUUCGAAAGCUCGGGGAGCAAACAGG